CCGGAGUCGGCAGGAUUUCCUUGA
rnacentral:siRNA from 1 species